UACGUAGGGUCCGAGCGUUGUCCGGAAUUACUGGGCGUAAAGAGCUCGUAGGUGGUUUGUCGCGUUGUUCGUGAAAACUCACAGCUCAACUGUGGGCGUGCGGGCGAUACGGGCAGACUGGAGUACUGCAGGGGAGACUGGAAUUCCUGGUGUAGCGGUGGAAUGCGUAGAGAUCCGGAAGAACACCGGUGGCGAAGGCGGUUAGCUGGGCAGUUGCUGACACUGAGGCGCGACAGCGUGGGGAGCAAACAGG
rnacentral:rRNA from 1 species